rnacentral:rRNA from 1 species
GACAGAGGGUGCAAACGUUGCUCGGAAUCACUGGGCGUAAAGGGCGUGUAGGCGGGAAGGAAAGUCAGAUGUGAAAUCCCUGGGCUCAACCCAGGAACUGCAUUUGAAACUCCCUUUCUUGAGUACCGGAGAGGAAGGUGGAAUACCUGGUGUAGAGGUGAAAUUCGCAGAUAUCAGGAGGAACACCGGUGGCGAAGGCGGGUCUCUGGGCCGAUACUGACGCUGAGGAGCGAAAGCGUGGGGAGCGAACAGG